GCUGGGCAGGGUGGUGCACACCUAGGGUCCCAGCUACUUGGGAGGAUGAGGCAGGACGAUCACUUGAGCCCAGGAGUGGAGGACAAACCUGGGCAAUGUAGUGAGAUCCUGUCUCCA
rnacentral:sRNA from 1 species